rnacentral:misc_RNA from 1 species
GGAGCAACAUCUUUAGCACUUCGAGGAUUAACAUUAAGAUCCAAAGAAGUGUCUACCAAUGAAUAAGAAUAGUCCAUAGCCGCCGAAGUCGAACUAGUCUUCAUCCUUACAAAUAUUAAAGCAAAACCCAGACCACGAAUUCUUGUUCUUUAUCCUCUCAAAAGCUUGUAGCAGUGGUUCUUGAAGAAAUAUAUGUUAGUCUUGUAGCAGUUGAAGAACAACCACACGAAGAAAAUAGAAAGCUAGCUCUCUAAACGUUUUGGAGAAGAAAGAAGGCGGAAAGCG